UAAUACUAAUGUUAAACGACAUGGAUCUCCUUUGGGACAAACAACGCUGGAACAGACAGCUCUCCAUUCUUGUUGUCUGUCCCAAAGGAGAUCCAUGUCGUUUAACGUUAGUAUUA